UACAGAGGUCCCAAGCGUUGUUCGGAUUCACUGGGAGUAAAGGGUGCGUAGGCGGUCGGGUAAGUCUGAUGUGAAAUCUCACAGCUUAACUGUGAAACUGCAUUGGAUACUAUCCGGCUCGAGGAAUGGAGGGGAGACUGGAAUACUUGGUGUAGCAGUGAAAUGCGUAGAUAUCAAGUGGAACACCAGUGGCGAAGGCGAGUCUCUGGACAUUUCCUGACGCUGAGGCACGAAAGCCAGGGGAGCAAACGGG
rnacentral:rRNA from 1 species